AUGGCGGAGGCAGCAAGGGGAGGGCCGACGCCUCCUCAUGGUGGCAUCCCGGAUGAGAUCCUCAUCUGGGACAUCCUCGUCCGCCUGCCCCCCAAAUCGCUCCUCCGCUGCCGUGCCGUCUGCCGCGCCUGGCGCACAGCCACCUCCGCCCGCGACUUCCUCAUCGCCAACCACGCCCGCCAGCCCACCCGCCCCCUCCUCUACGUCUGCAACCUUCCCCACUACGGCCACUACAAGGUCGGUGGCGACAUAGACAUCAUCCCCUUCGACCACCGGGCCGCCGCCGACAAGCUCCAGCCCGUCGCGCUACUUGGCCGAGCCUCCGAAUUCAAAGAUCUGGUGGCCUCCUUUGACGGCCUCGUUGUCUUCGACUGGUGGCGCCGCAAGUCCUUGGGUAUCUGCAACUCAGCGACCCGUCAGUAUGCCCGCCUCAUGGUGCCUAUGGACUUCACGUUCUUGGGGAUGUACCGUCACCCCCCAACCGGCGAAUACAGGGUACUGAUGUACCCGUGUCUGGCAGCUGGGAGGGAAGCUGGCUGCUAUGUUUUAUCGUUGGGCUCCAUCCAACCGCCGAGAAGCAUUGUCAGGCCGGGGGAAGUGCAUAAAGAAGUGAUAUUCGGCACCAAGUCUGUGCUAUUCCGUGGCGGGCUGCACUGGUACAGGGUGCAGCAGCACGAGGGCGAAAGCAACAUGAUAAUCGUAUUUGACACCACAGCCGAGACGUUCCGACAGAUGCGCGUCCCGGUUGUUCGUGGUACCACCUGUGAUGGGCUAUUUGAGAUGGAUGGCAUGCUCGGCAUGUCUAGCUUUAACGACAAAGCGACAAGCAUUGAUAUCUGGGUGUUGCAGGACUAUGCAAGCGAGGUCUGGACCUUCAAGUGCCACAUUGAACUGCCGCUUGCAGAGAUUAUGGCGUCGUGUGGAAAACGCGAUGACGAUGACUCUUGGGAAACGGUGGUCGUGCCUGGGGAUGGUGAGUUGCUUGUCCUGGUCAAAUUUCCCAACUGGCUAGUUCAGAUUGACAUGGAUGGCAAGUUGGUCGCCACUUUCAAUCACACAGGUGUCCAACCUACUCAACUGCAGCUCAAGCAAAGUCUUGUUCCGCAUGACUUCUUUCCAUCGCUACAUGGUUAUGUUGUGAACGGUUGGCCUUUCACCUGA
rnacentral:rRNA from 1 species